rnacentral:rRNA from 1 species
CCAACGGGAUGCCCUAGUACGGCGAGUGAAGCGGCAACAGCUCAAAUUUGAAAGCUGGCCUUCGGGUCCGCAUUGUAAUUUGUAGAGGAUGCUUUGGGUGAAACGCCAGUCUAAGUUCCUUGGAACAGGACGUCAUAGAGGGUGAGAAUCCCGUAUGUGACUGGAAAUGUUAACCUAUGUAAAGCUCCUUCGACGAGUCGAGUUGUUUGGGAAUGCAGCUCUAAAUGGGAGGUAAAUUUCUUCUAAAGCUAAAUAUUGGCGAGAGACCGAUAGCGCACAAGUAGAGUGAUCGAAAGAUGAAAAGCACUUUGGAAAGAGAGUUAAAAAGCACGUGAAAUUGUUGAAAGGGAAGCGCUUGCAAUCAGACUUGUUUAAACUGUUCGGCCGGUCUUCUGACCGGUUUACUCAGUUUGGACAGGCCAGCAUCAGUUUCGGCGGCCGGAUAAAGGCUCUGGGAAUGUGGCCUUCACUUCGGUGAAGGUGUUAUAGCCCAGGGUGUAAUACGGCCAGCCGGGACUGAGGUCCGCGCUUCGGCUAGGAUGCUGGCGUAAUGGUUGUAAGCGACCCGUCUUAACAC